rnacentral:lncRNA from 1 species
UAAACAAGCCAGAGUUUCAGAUGACGAAGAAUGGAGUGGAGAAGAAGAAGAGGAAUAUGAGAAGGAACAUGACAAGUUUUCUAUCUUUGGCGUGAGAAAAAUUUUGAAAGGUAGAUUGUAGAAGGACCUGGUGGACCCAGGGAUGAUGAGGUUGGUUGAUUCUUUGGCUGCUCAAGGUUAGAAGGACAUGGUCCUUCAGAU